UAUUUCAUCACAUUGGCAUCACCACCCCCAUUUUCACAUUCAAGCUUUUUAGUGCUCUACUAAAUUUUCUUUGGAAUCUAAGGUAUUUCGUAAGAUAAUUACUUCUCAAGGAUCACUCCUAUUGCAAUCAAGACUAGGACUCCACAUUCGAGACCAAAGUAACUGAAAGUCUAGAAUGCCGGUGGCGAGUAGAACUUUAGACGCUUGUGUGUGUGAACUCGCUGAGGGCCAUAUAACUGUGGGCGGUCUAGGCGCUCCAUUUAUUUAUUUACGUUAUCAAAUUUAUGUUGCAAUUAUUUUAGUUAUUAUUUAUUAUGUCUUUUGUACGAAAACUGGCCAGUUGUGAAUAUUUUCAAGUAUUAAAUAAAAAUGCGACAUUAUGAUUUUCCGCGA